rnacentral:lncRNA from 1 species
AUGCUUGAAAGAACAAUUCAACCACCGCAAAAUGCAACUGUUACGGUUCACCUUGCCCCAGUGAUUCCUGAUUCCUCCUCCUGUUUACACAAGACCAGCAGCCUACAGAAAAGAUCUUGCAGCCAUACCUUUAAACACUUCCAUAGUAUGGGCCAGGUGGGGGCACAUCCAUCAAAGCAACCUUGCAGGGUGAAGGAUACUGCACAGCGGACCGGAAGGGGGCAUGGAGAGGGUCAAGCCGACAAUGCUGGGAGAAGUAGAGUUUCCACCUCCAGGUAUGUGGAAGUGCUGCACAAUUGCAGUUUAUGGCUAAGCUCAGGCUUCUUGCUGCUACCUGGGGCUCUGAGUCCCUGAGCUGAGGAUUCUUGACCCCAGAUGCUGGAGCUUUUACCUGCACCCCAAUCC